UAUCUGUGAUUUGUUUAUUUGCUACAGAGUAAAACAUCUGAAGGAACGUCCUCUAAGUGCCAUAAUUUUUGCCAGGGGUUGUACAAUCAGAAAGAGAUUGCAUAAGUUUGAGCUGCAUGGGAGGCGUGCCAUGAAAAAGCCUUUGCAAGACCACAGUUUGAAAGUGAGCAUAUAGGAAAAGACCAGGCCUUUUGGAAUACAGGAUCCGUACAGAAUCUCUCCAGAUCCUUCACAUUUCGAGGUCCACGCUGGUGGACUCUCCUCUUCAGUUCACCCCACAGGUUCUCUAUGGGGUUCGGGUCAGGGGACGGGGAUGGUCAUGGCAGGACCUUGAUUUUCAAGGCUGAGAUCAGCUCAAACAGGAUGUUGAUAUAGAUCUGCUUUUAUACUCCAAUGGUUUGGAAAAGUGUAAAUACCCUACAUCCUGGACAGUGUGUGUGUGUGUGUUUGGGAUGUUCCAUAGAAAUAAAAGUUUAUUACAAAUAAAGGGAGAGCGGUGUACUGCACAUUCUCUUUCACUCUGAGCUGCAGGGUUUCAAGAUUUAAACAUGGUGCUGCAGAGUGAGACAGUGAGAGUCAAAAAGAGAGUGUGAGAGACAGGGAGAGACUGGGAGAGACAGUGAGAAACUGGGAGAGACUGAGAGAGACUGAGAGAGACAGUGAGAGACAGUGAGAGACUGGGAGAGACAGUGAGAGACAGUGAGAGACUGGGAGAGACUGGGAGAGACAGUGACAGACUGGGAGAGACUGAGAGAGACAGUGAGAGACAGUGAGAGACAGUGAGAGACAGUGACAGACAGGGAGAGACAGUGAGAGACAGUGACAGACUGGGAGAGACAGGGAGAGACUGGGAGAGACUGAGAGAGACAGUGAGAGACUGGGAGAGACAGUGAGAGACAGUGAGAGACAGUGACAGACUGGGAGAGACAGUGAGAGACUGGGAGAGACAGUGAGAGACUGGGAGAGACUGGGAGAGACUGGGAGAGACAGUGAGAGACUGAGAGAGACAGUGACAGACUGGGAGAGACAGUGAGAGACUGGGAGAGACAGUGAGAGACAGUGAGAGACAGUGAGAGACAGUGAGAGACUGGGAGAGACAGUGAGAGACUGGGAGAGACAGUGAGAGACAGUGAGAGACUGAGAG
ensembl:lncRNA